rnacentral:rRNA from 1 species
UGGGGAAUUUUGGACAAUGGGCGAAAGCCUGAUCCAGCAAUGCCGCGUGUGUGAAGAAGGCCUUCGGGUUGUAAAGCACUUUUAUCAGGAGCGAAACGCUGUCGGCUAAUACCCGGCGGAACUGACGGUACCUGAGGAAUAAGCACCGGCUAACUUCGUGCCAGCAGCCGCGGUAAUACGAAGGGUGCAAGCGUUAAUCGGAAUUACUGGGCGUAAAGCGUGCGUAGGCGGUUUCUUAAGUCUGCUGUGAAAUCCCCGGGCUCAACCUGGGAAUGGCAGUGGAUACUGGGAGGCUAGAGUGUGUCGGAGGGUGGUGGAAUUCCCGGUGUAGCGGUGAAAUGCGUAGAGAUCGGGAGGAACAUCAGUGGCGAAGGCGGCCACCUGGGACAACACUGACGCUGAGGCACGAAAGCGUGGGGAGCAAACAGGAUUAGAUACCCUGGUAGUCCACGCCCUAAACGAUGCGAACUGGAUGUUGGUCUCAACUCGGAGAUCAGUGUCGAAGCUAACGCGUUAAGUUCGCCGCCUGGGGAGUACGGUCGCAAGACUGAAACUCAAAGGAAUUGACGGGGUCAUAGCUGUUUCCUG